GUUAAAAAGCUCGUAGUUGGAUUUCUGCGGGGGCGGGGCGGCCGGAUGCUUAUAGCAUCUCGAGCUAGCACUUCCCCCGCAUCCUGCCGCGAACCGUGCUACCAUUAGUUUGGUGGCGCUGGGGAUCGGCUCGUUUACUUUGAGAAAAAUAGAGUGUUCAAAGCAGGCCACACGCCUUGAAUAAGUUAGCAUGGAAUAAUGAUAAAGGACUUCGGUUCUAUUUUGUUGGUGUUCGGGACUGAAGUAAUGAUUGAUAGGGACAGUUGGGGCGGUCAGUAUUCCAAAGCGAGAGGUGAGAUUCUUAGACCUUCGGAAGACUAACAGCUGCGAAAGCGUUCCGCAAGGAUGUUCCCUUUGAUCAAGAACGAAAGUUGGGGGAUCGAAGACGAUCAGAUACCGUCGUAGUCUCAACUAUAAACUAUACCAGCUAGGGAUCGGCCGACGUUUACUUAUAUCGACUCGGUCGGCACCUUAUGAGAAAUCAAAGCAUCUGGGUUCCGGGGGGAGUAUGGUCGCAAGGCUGUAACUUAAAGGAAUUGACGGAAAGGGCACCACCAGCCCGUGG
rnacentral:rRNA from 1 species